CCCUACUUCUUUAAAAGACCAAGCAAGAGGCUGUUUCCUGUCCAGAUUGGAUGACUUACUAUAGUGGUAAUGGUGCCAUGAUUUGAACAAAAUUCUGGCUGCCCCUCAACUGUUGUUUUUCUUCAACUUGCUGUGAUUGGACAGUAUGCUGACUUCCAGCCUGCUCUCUUCAGGCAAGUGGUGGUGCUGUCUCGUUAAACUCUUUGAAACCUGACUUGGAAAGCAAAAUCAAAAAUGGUAGACAACAAUCUUUAAUGAAAGUAUAAAUAAAGGAGCAUUUGGAA
rnacentral:lncRNA from 1 species